rnacentral:tRNA from 1 species
GGGCCGGUCGUCUAGCUUGGUUAGGACGACGCUCUGACACGGCGUAGGUCCCAGGUUCAAGUCCUGGCCGGCCCA